AAAUACUUUUCUUAAGUUUUUCAUUUUUCUAUGAUAUUAGUCAGAAAAUGUAUCUGGCUAUGUUUUGUAAUAAAGUUAGUGUUUCAUUACAUUUCCCUAUUUGUUUGGUACAUUCCUUCAUAUUGUAUACACACAGUACACACUAACAAAUAAACACACUGAGACCUGUUUUGUAUGUUAACUGUUUUUAAAAAUGGACAUUUUCUAAAAUGCAGUACAAAAUAAAGAAGCGACAUAUAUUCUCCAAUGCUUUUUAAACAUUUUUACAUUUUUUUUUUCAUUGUGAUUUUGUUCAAUUUUAUUGACUAAAAUAACAUAUUGCUAAUACAGUAUCUUGGUUUCCUUAAUAACAAUAUACUUUGUCUUACUUUAUCUGUGAAUUUAUUAAAUUAUCAGGUAGCGUUUAAGUAUAGUUCUCUAUGAAUCUCAAUUUUAGCAGUAGUAAUAGUUGUAGUAGCUUAAAAUUGUCCUUAAAAGAAAAUAGAAAUCUUGACUCAAUUAGUUACACAAUAGUCUACAAACCAACAUGAUUCCGUGCAUUUCCAUGGAUACCUCAACUAAGGUGGAAGGGGGAAAAAAAUAGAAGAUCUUUGUUUUUAAAGGGGAAGUUAAGUAUUUUACUGAGUGUUUUUAGAUGGUUCCUCAACCUAAAAGUAGUCUAUGGGGAAACUAAUCCACGGUUAAGUUGUGAAAUACUGAACUUCCACUUUAUUUUUCGCUACACUUGACAGGUUUAUAGACCGACGAAGACAAUCACCCUUCAGAUUGACAAACAAAGGAAGAUCUGGUAACACAACUACCUGAAGUGGUUUCUUGCAAAGUCUUAUAAUGCCUUAUAAACAUUCAUAGCACCUUAUGAUGCAGUCAUAAAACAUGAUAUAACUGAAUAUUUAAGCAGCCACAAGAGGCCCCCUUAGCUGUGACAUCAUCAAUAUAUGACAGCCUUUCAUGCCUUAUUUCCUUUACCACAGUUUCAUCAUCCAUUGUGGCUGUUUAUAAGGGUGCUAUGAAGGUUUAUAAGGCAUACUGCUUCAUAAGAGGCCACUUUAAAUACAAAAUAGCUCAUUGUAACAUUUACAUGGUCCCUAAGAGAGGUUCUGAAUGUUCUACAUCACUAAAUUGUUCAUAAUGUUUUAAGACACUGCAUUUUUAGAAUGCCAUGCGUCGAUCCAUUCAUAACAUGAACACAGUGUGACGUUUAUUACCUUCUUAUGAACCUUUAUAACCUAAUUGUGAAGCUUCAUGACUAGUGUGUUGUGAUUGACAUCACACCCAUAGAAAUAUAAUUACAAGAAGGGAAAUAAACAUGACUUGAAUGGAGAUGUCAAUUCUAGAAAUUCUCUUUCUACGAUUACACCCUGUUCCUAUGACGUCAUCAUCUGGGUGUUAGUAACAGUAUGGUGCAUUCAAAGGGGUAAAAACGAAUGUGCAAUAUUGUUUGUUAUCGUGACUAUCAAUAUAAAUCUCAUUAACCAUGGACAAUUGUUGAUGGGUUUACACAAGUUGAAUGAGGCCACACAUUUCAUGUUAAAAAAGAACAUUAUUGUCAUUGAACCAAAAUGGCGACAGCUACAAUCAAUUCAACACUUUUCAUAAGAAGAGGUGAUCAGUGUUGUUACAUUGCAUUUGCUGGCUUAGUCAUUUGUUCCUCUUGGCUUGCCAUAGUUGAAGCUUGUCCUGCUUUGAAAUGGUACAUUAGGUGGGUAGGUUUCCCCUUUCCACUCUGAUAAAUGAGCCAAGUGUCAAUCGAUCAAUCAAUCCUCCCUAUCUAUCUUCAUUCAUAACUGACUGCAAAGUACUCUGUAAUACCCUAUGAAGUGUCUACAAUCUAGAUGAUACAGUAGUAGCCCAUCUUUUCAUAUCCUGGUCCCGAGGGGCCCCUGGUUAUUCUGAUUUCCUAUACAAUUCAAAACAGAACUUAUCUAUCAAACUUAAAGUGGACUUAUGAAACUACAUUCAAUUGAUGAAGUAUGUUUAAAUUAAGUUGAUAGAUAAUUGUAAGUUAACUGACUGAAUGAAAAAGUUUCAGAACUAAGACCAGCAUACUAAGGGGUCCUUGAGAACCUGGAUUUGGGAUUCUGUGACUGAUUAUCCUAUAAACCGUGGGAUUCUGUGACUGAUCAUCCUAUAAACUGGGAUUCUGUGACUGAUUAUCCUAUAAACUGGGAUUCUAUGACUGAUUAUCCUAUAAACUGGGAUUCUAUGACUGGUUAUCCUAUAAACUGGGAUUCUGUGACUGAUCAUCCUAUAAACUGUGGGAUUCUGUGACUGAUUAUCCUAUAAACUGUGGGAUUCUGUGACUGAUUAUCCUAUAAACUGUGGGACUCUGUGACUGAUUAUCCUAUAAACUGUGGGAUUCUGUGACUGAUUAUCCUAUAAACUGUGGGAUUCUGUGACUGAUUAUCCUAUAAACUGUGGGAUUCUGUGACUGAUUAUCCUAUAAACGGUGGAUUCUGUGACUGAUUAUCCUAUAAACUGUGGGAUUCUGUGACUGAUUAUCCUAUAAAUGGUGGAUUCUGUGACUGAUUAUCCUAUAAACUGUGCUCGGUCAUUGGACUGCAGUGUUCUAUAGUGAACACCUAUUGGCUGUUGAGUUGAACGGAACAGUACGAAUAUUUACAGCAGUUGGUUCAUAUCACCUAUGACUUUUUAACAAUAAAAAAUAAAACAAUGUUUUAGGAAUAAAAUACAAAUAAUGGCAACAUUUAAGUACGUAUAUAUCUCUGGCGAUUAUUACAACAAAAAUAUAACUUUUUUUUC
ensembl:lncRNA